rnacentral:lncRNA from 1 species
GAGACAAAUGCAGACGAGCGCGGAGCUCCAGGCAGCCUCUGGGCCCAGGAUAGCACCUGCGUACACUGUUCCCUAAAUCGGAGGCACUUAGCCUUUCGGGAAACAGAGUCCGGGUAACUUUUGGGGAACAGAGGCCAUCCUUUUUUUUUGAUCCCAUUAUAUAUCCUUUUUUUGAUAGGUGUAACACUGCUUUGCUGUUUUAGUAGGUGCUUAGGAUUUACAGUGUGCAAUGUUAACUUUAUCAUAUUUCAUCUUCAAGUACUAUGUAGAUCAUUCCGCCUACAAUAUAAGAAGCUUACAAUAGGAUAUUUCCAUUUCUCCCCCAACCUUGGUUUUCAUACUGUUGUUGCAUAUGAACUUUUACAGAUGUUCUCAAUGCCACAACUAUCCCCAAUUUGCUGUCUUUUUACCUCUGCCUGCAGGACUUUCUUUAACAUUUCUAGUUGAACUUUUAUUUUUGGAGGAGUGUUGAAAUUAAACAGUACAUAGAUUUUAGUGGGAACAUCUGUAGUGUUUCCCCAUUUCCUGACUUCAGAACUGAGGUAUAAAUAUGUGUGUGUAAAUUUUUUUUUUUUGGUACCAGGGAUCGAAC